UUUCUCCUCUCACCGUCCUGAAGGACCUUAUUCCUGUAAAGGGUUGGGGCAGCAAAAGCGUCCUACGUGAAAGGUCACUUGUAGCUGGUGGUUGACAUCCAGUGAGGGAAUCAGCUUGUGAGUGAGCCUCUCACCAACUGUUCUUGUCUUCUGUUGGUCGGAGGCAGAUGUUACCUACCAGAGGAAACUCAAGUGUUGUAGGAAAGUGGACGUGACAACAGCGGCUGUGUACUGUUCUGGGUGCAACGAAUUCCCGGCAUCACGCCAGAUCUCCAGUUCUUAAAUGAGUGUGAAUAUGUUCAAGGAUGGUUUGAUAUUCACCUAACAACAAUGAAGGAAUGAAAAGUAGAAGCAGGUGGAAUCAACUCGUCAAAAACAGCGACAUUGUUUAAAUACUGGCUAAUAACCAGAGGAGGAAGAGGACGACGAGGACGAGGACGAUAGCAAUGACCUGUAAUUGUACUUUACUUUUGUUAAAAAAGAAAAACUUGGAGGUGGCAGAGGCGAAGUUGUGAGUCCGGUGCUGUAUGAGAGCAGAGCAGAAACAGGGAAGGGGAGGAAGAAGAGGUGGGUAAAAGGAAUGGAGGAAGAGGAAAAAAAAGAAAGGUGGAAAGGACAGAAUGAAGGACACGGAGAUGAGAUGGAAAACGUGAUAGGUCUGGCUGAGGAAGAGAAUGGAAAGGAAAGAUAAGGAGGGGUGAUGAAAGGCACGAAGGAAGAGGGGGAAAAGAAAAAUGUAUCAAAAGAUGGAACGUCAUGAAAGAUGAGAAAAUGUAAAGAGAAGAUGAUCAUGAAGGAAAGAGAAUGUAAGGGAUGGAAGAGAAAGGAAAGAAGAUAAAAGGAGAUAAAGGGGAGGAAGGCAAGGGAUGUUGGUAUUAAGAGCGACUUGCAGGCUCUUCGUUAGAUUAACGGAAUUUGUUCCUGAAUGUUUCGUCAAAUUACAUUAACACUGGUGAAGUCUGUUAUCUGGUUUCCAGAGACAAUUUAAUACUGUCAUGAGGGUUGAUAC